GUGGAGUUGGACCUUCCAGACGAACUAAUUUCUUGCCUUUUACCAGAGAUUACCGUGGAAUGGCCAAAAAUACUCCGCUGCACCAAUCUUUGGAAACAACUGGGAUUCAAUUCCCCACGAUGUU
rnacentral:snRNA from 1 species